CAUGCAGUCGAGCGAACAGAGAAGGAGCUUGCUCCUUCGACGUUAGCGGCGGACGGGUGAGUAACACGUGGGCAACCUACCCUAUAGUUUGGGAUAACUCCGGGAAACCGGGGCUAAUACCGAAUAAUUUGUUUCACCUCAUGGUGAAACACUGAAAGACGGUUUCGGCUGUCGCUAUAGGAUGGGCCCGCGGCGCAUUAGCUAGUUGGUGAGGUAACGGCUCACCAAGGCGACGAUGCGUAGCCGACCUGAGAGGGUGAUCGGCCACACUGGGACUGAGACACGGCCCAGACUCCUACGGGAGGCAGCAGUAGGGAAUCUUCCACAAUGGGCGAAAGCCUGAUGGAGCAACGCCGCGUGAGUGAAGAAGGAUUUCGGUUCGUAAAACUCUGUUGUAAGGGAAGAACAAGUACAGUAGUAACUGGCUGUACCUUGACGGUACCUUAUUAGAAAGCCACGGCUAACUACGUGCCAGCAGCCGCGGUAAUACGUAGGUGGCAAGCGUUGUCCGGAAUUAUUGGGCGUAAAGCGCGCGCAGGUGGUUUCUUAAGUCUGAUGUGAGAGCCCACGGCUCAACCGUGGAGGGUCAUUGGAAACUGGGAGACUUGAGUGCAGAAGAGGAUAGUGGAAUUCCAAGUGUAGCGGUGAAAUGCGUAGAGAUUUGGAGGAGCACCAGUGGCGAAGGCGACUAUCUGGUCUGUAACUGACACUGAGGCGCGAAAGCGUGGGGAGCAAACAGGAUUAGAUACCCCUGGUAGUCCACGCCGUAAACGAUGAGUGCUAAGUGUUAGGGGGUUUCCCCCCCCUUAUGCCCGCAGCUACGCAUUAAGCACUCCGCCUGGGGAGUACGGUCCCCAAGACUGAAACUCAAAGGAAUUUGACGGGGGGCCCC
rnacentral:rRNA from 1 species